CCAGUAAACGGCGGCCGUAACUAUAACGGUCCUAAGGUAGCGAAAUUCCUUGUCGGGUAAGUUCCGACCCGCACGAAAGGCGUAACGAUUUGGGCACUGUCUCAACAACAGACUCGGUGAAAUUGUAAUUCCGGUGAAGAUGCCGGAUACCUGCGACAGGACGGAAAGACCCCAUGGAGCUUUACUGUAGCUUGACAUUGGGUCUUGGUACUACAUGUACAGGAUAGGU
rnacentral:rRNA from 1 species